rnacentral:tRNA from 1 species
GGGCGAGUGGCGGAAUUGGUAGACGCACGGGACUCAAAAUCCCGCGAUGGCAACAUCAUGAGAGUUCGAUUCUCUCCUCGCCCA